UGGGGAAUUUUGGACAAUGGGGGCAACCCUGAUCCAGCCAUGCCGCGUGCGGGAAGAAGGCCUUCGGGUUGUAAACCGCUUUUAGCUGGGAAGAAAAGGCCGAGGUUAAUACCUUCGGUUUUUGACGGUACCGGCGGAACAAGCACCGGCUAACUACGUGCCAGCAGCCGCGGUAAUACGUAGGGUGCGAGCGUUAAUCGGAAUUACUGGGCGUAAAGCGUGCGCAGGCGGUUCGUUGUGUCGGUGGUGAAAGCCCCGGGCUUAACCUGGGGAUGGCCAUGGAAACUGGCGAACUGGAGUGUGGCAGAGGGGGGUGGAAUUCCGCGCGUAGCAGUGAAAUGCGUAGAGAUGCGGAGGAACACCGAUGGCGAAGGCAGCCCCCUGGGCUAGCACUGACGCUCAGGCACGAAAGCGUGGGGAGCAAACAGGAUUAGAUACCCUGGUAGUCCACGCCCUAAACCAUGUCAACUGGGUGUUCGGGAAGCGAUUUCUGAGUACCGUAGCUAACGCGUGAAGUUGACCGCCUGGGGAGUACGGCCGCAAGGUUAA
rnacentral:rRNA from 1 species